rnacentral:lncRNA from 1 species
UCCAACUGGAGGCGAGAGGAAAAACAGUGCAACUGUGUAGCCUUUUACACAGAUCUACAUGCGUCCUUUCAGCUCCGAGAGCUUGGGAGGACUUCUGUUUCCCAAAAGUUGGAUCAAGCGAACUGGCAUUGACUCCCUGGGUCUUCCCCCGACUCUUCCCUUAUUUUAAUAAUAACAAUCUCUAACUAGUUCUCCAGGGAUCAGGGCUGAUUUCACCACUAUGUCUGGUAUGUCCAAAGCCGUGCCAAUCAAUAGCCACUGAUUCCGCUUCAAAAGUAAGCUGUGCCAGCAUCAAGCUGUUCUGUCCCUCACUCCAAUGGCUAUCCUGGCUCACUCUCCAGUCCAGCCUUCUCCCCUCUCCAACCCCCUCCCCUGCUCACAGCCACGACGCUGACAUCUGAUGGCCUUUGAUAAUACCGCCUGCUCCAGCCUAAAGACAAGGACUUGGUGUCUUUGAACUCGUUUGGAUAUUGGUCUCUACAGCAGCCAUAUCCUGAUGCAUUCCUGUAUGUGCGGUGAGCAUCUCCCUCUCAGGGACCGUCGGCUGUAUCUUCCCUUUAUAGAUUUUUGUCCACUUGGAGGACCCUUCCCACUUCUUUUGGUUUAUCUUUCAUUAAGCCCCAUGCUUUUCCCUUAAUGUUUUGUGUCCGCUCACAACGCCUGCUCUAAAAAGAUGUUUACAGGCUGUAAUCACAUGGUUCUUGUUAGCAUCCUUGGCUACGUUUUAAUGUUUCCUAAUACUUUACAAUUCCCAAGAAACGGAUCUCGGUUUUGGUCCCGCAGAAACUUGGCAGGGUCCCUCAGGCAGCUGCUCCACCGCCUAGACCCACUGAGGAAUUGCUGCUGUCUCUCUGCUGCCUGCUUUCUUCCAGACUGCUCUUUUUUAAAAAGGUACUAACCUUAGCGAGCCGGGGCUCUCCCACCUCUAGUAAAAAUCUCUUUGCAAGG